rnacentral:rRNA from 1 species
GAAGUUGGAGUCGCUAGUAAUCGCAGAUCAGCAACGCUGCGGUGAAUACGUUCCCGGGCCUUGUACACACCGCCCGUCACGUCAUGAAAGUCGGUAACACCCGAAGCCGGUGGCCUAACCCCUUGUGGGAGGGAGCCGUCGAAGGUGGGAUCGGCGAUUGAGACGAAGUCGUAACAAGGUAGCCGUACCGGAAGGUGCGGCUGGAUCACCUCCUUU